UACGAGGGGGGCGAGCGUUGUUCGGAAUUAUUGGGCGUAAAGGGUGCGUAGGCGGUUUGGUAAGUCUUAUGUGAAAUCUACAGGCUCAACUUGUAGUCUGCAUGAGAUACUACAGGGCUAGGAGGCGGGAGAGGCAAGCGGUACUUUAUGGGUAGGGGUAAAAUCCGCUGAUCCAUAGAAGACCACCAGUGGCGAAGGCGGCUUGCCAGAACGCGCUCGACGGUGAGGGAUGAAAGCUGGGGGAGCAAACCGG
rnacentral:rRNA from 1 species